rnacentral:rRNA from 1 species
CAGCCGCCACGGGAAUACGAAGGGUGCAAGCGUUACUCGGAAUUACUAGGCGUAAAGCGUGUGUAGGUGGUUGUUUGAGUCUGUCGUGAAAGCCCUGGGCUCAACCUGGGAAUUGCGAUGGAUACUGGGCGACUAGAGUGCGGUAGAGGAUAGUGGAAUCUCCGGUGUAGCAGUGAAAUGCGUAGAGAUCGGAAGGAACAUCUGUGGCGAAGGCGACUAUCUGGGCCAACACUGACACUGAGACACGAAAGCGUGGGGAGCAAACAGGAUUAGAUACCCGCGUAGUCCCUGUCUCUUAUAC